CCUACGGGAGGCAGCAGUGGGGGAUAUUGCACAAUGGGGGGAACCCUGAUGCAGCGACGCCGCGUGGGUGAAGAAGCGCCUCGGCGCGUAAAGCCCUGUCAGCAGGGAAGAAAAUGACGGUACCUGAAGAAGAAGCCCCGGCUAACUACGUGCCAGCAGCCGCGGUAAUACGUAGGGGGCAAGCGUUAUCCGGAUUUACUGGUUGGAAAGGGGGCGCAGACGGCGAUGCAAGCCAGGAGUGAAAGCCCGGGGCCCAACCCCGGGACUGCUCUUGGAACUGCGUGGCUGGAGUGCAGGAGGGGCGGGCGGAAUUCCUGGUGUAGCGGUGAAAUGCGUAGAUAUCAGGAGGAACACCGGUGGCGAAGGCGGCCUGCUGGACUGCAACUGACGUUGAGGCCCGAAAGCGUGGGGAGCAAACAGGAUUAGAUACCCCUGUAGUC
rnacentral:rRNA from 1 species